GCCAGCUUGGCGGAUAUGGCCCUCGGUUUGUAACUGAGUGGGCUCGGGUUCGAAUCCCGAAUAAGGCA